UCUUGAGGGCAACAAGUCGACUUUGCCUUCUAUCAUCUGCCAGCUAGGUUGCGGCAGACCGGCCGAAUCCAAGUUUAUGAGCGAUAACAUAUCGACCGGCACAAAAUUCAUCACCAAUCAUGACAGGAUGGUAACCUCCGGGAACAUAAUAGUCCAAGCGCUCAACUUCUUCCACAAACUUGUACCUGACUCUGCUGGGUUCCAUGUGUGUUGCCAUACUUCUGCAGGGGUGUGAAAUGGAGAAUUGUGUCUGUCAUCAGGGCGGCCCAGUUACUAAUGGUCUGAUUCUGCGAAAUUGCAAGAACGCGUUGCUUGUUCGAUUGGCCAGCGAAGUGGUGCUGGGUUCAGGUCAUUUGUAACUAAGGCAGCUGGGACAAAAGACAGAACAGAGCAAAGCUUGUUAGCUAGCGUAUAAGGCUACCUCAAGGGGG
rnacentral:sRNA from 2 species